rnacentral:piRNA from 1 species
ACAAAAGGAUUUAAGAGAACAAGU